rnacentral:lncRNA from 1 species
GCCUAGCUUUAUAUAUAUGCAGAAUAAUGGGUUUUUCAUUGGUCAAAAUAAAACGCAAUAAACUGCAAACGUUUGCCUCAUAAUCUGAAUAAGUAAUUAACAUGUCCUGAGAGUCCUUAAAAGUGAUGUACGGUAUCAUAACCUUAUAUGAGAGUACAUAUACGUCUAUGUUGGAGUUUGGGUCUAUUUUGAAAUUCUUUUUCUUAGAUCACUCGCGUUAGUAAAAAAAAUCAUUGCCUGAAAC